AGAAAGGAAAAAAAGAGAAAAAAGGAAAAGAAAAGAAGGUCAAAGAUAAAGAGAAGAAGGUUGAUGAAGAAUCGGAGGAAGAAACAGAAAAAGACAAGGGAGUUAAAGGCGGGGAACUGAAGGCAAAGAAGAAAGAUAAGAAGAAAGAUAAGGAGAAAAAAGAGAAGGGCAAAGAUGAAAUUGAGGAGGAAGAAGAUAAUGAAGAUGAAGGGAACGAAGAAAACAAGAAGAAAAAGAACAAAGAUAAGGAGAUGAAAGAGAAGAAGCACAAGGAUGAAGCAGACGAUGAAAUAAAAUAUGGAGAUGGAGAGAAGAAGAAGAAGAAAGAGAAAAAGGACAAGGAAGAGAAAAUGCCGAAGGAACGUAAGGAUGAAGCUACUCAGUCAAAGUGCGAGGCUGGGGUUACCACCAGGGAGAUUGGAAUAAAUGAUGAG
rnacentral:lncRNA from 1 species